UACGUAGGGCGCAAGCGUUGUCCGGAAUUAUUGGGCGUAAAGAGCUCGUAGGCGGUUUGUCGCGUCUGCUGUGAAAUCCCGAGGCUCAACCUCGGGCUUGCAGUGGGUACGGGCAGACUAGAGUCCGGAAGAGGAGAGCGGAAUUCCUGGUGUAGCGGUGGAAUGCGCAGAUAUCAGGAGGAACACCGAUGGCGAAGGCAGGUCUCUGGGCAUUAACUGACGCUGAGGAGCGAAAGCAUGGGGAGCGAACAGG
rnacentral:rRNA from 1 species